rnacentral:rRNA from 1 species
CCUACGAGUGGCUGCAGUGAGGAAUAUUGGUCAAUGGGCGGAAGCCUGAACCAGCCAAGUAGCGUGCAGGAUGACGGCCCUACGGGUUGUAAACUGCUUUUAUACGGGAAUAACGCGCCUUACGUGUAGGGCUUUGCAUGUACCGUAUGAAUAAGGACCGGCUAAUUCCGUGCCAGCAGCCGCGGUAACACGGAAGGUACGGGCGUUAUCCGGAUUUAUUGUGUUUAAAGGGAGCGUAGGCCGCAUGUCAAGCGUGCUGUGAAAUGUCCGGGCUCAACCCGGGCCUUGCAGCGCGAACUGGCGUGCUUGAGUCCGCCGAAAGCAGGCGGAAUUCGUCGUGUAGCGGUGAAAUGCUUAGAUAUGACGAAGAACCCCGAUUGCGAAGGCAGCUUGCUGCAGCGGAACUGACGCUGAUGCUCGAAAGCGCGGGUAUCGAACAGGAUUAGAUACCCUGGUAGUC